rnacentral:rRNA from 1 species
UACGAAGGGGGCUAGCGUUGCUCGGAAUGACUGGGCGUAAAGGGCGCGUAGGCGGUUUGGACAGUCAGAUGUGAAAUUCCUGGGCUCAACCUGGGGGCUGCAUUUGAUACGUUCGGACUAGAGUGGGGAAGAGGGUCGUGGAAUUCCCAGUGUAGAGGUGAAAUGCGUAGAUAUCGGGAGGAACACCAGUGGCGAAGGCGACUUCCUGGCCUGUUCUUGACGCUGAGGCGCGAAAGCUAGGGGAGCAAACGGGG